rnacentral:lncRNA from 1 species
AAAAUGUUAUCUGUAGAAGGAACAAAAGUCAAACAUAUGAUGUGUCAACGAAUGACUUUCACUUUGAUUUUGAAAACACCACCAAGAGUUUGGAAUGGAAAGGUGUGGAGGUGCUAUUUUGGAACAAAUGGAAGAAAUAGAAGAAGAAAGGCAACAGAUAUGCAUGGAAACUUAAGAUCUGUCUAGUGUGUUUGAUUCGUUAGCUUAUUUGACUGUGCUACACUAUCCAUUUAAACAGCAUUCGGUAUGUGCUUAAUUGAUAGCUUUGGGA